UGGCCUGCGUUAUCAGUGACACCCUGGG
rnacentral:piRNA from 1 species